UUUUCUUGACAUGUUGUUGUGUUGUUCAGUACUGAAUGCAGUGUCCUCUGACUUUGGAACAAGCUGGUAGGAUUGAGCAAAACUCUUUCCUUUUCACAGUUUGAAGGAAAAAUGGGAUCAUAAAAGAGAAAGUUAACUACAGAGCUGUGAUUGGGCUCCUUGCACAGAAAUGUCAAGCACACCUGAAGCAAAUGACUCUGUUCCCAAGGAGAAGACGUAACACAUUGUGUUAAAGGAACCACUCUCAUCUGGUAAUAUUAAAAAUGUUCUGAACUGCUCUCCAGUCGCCCAAGAAGUCAGAUGAAGUUGUAAAAUCCCUUUCAACAACUUGGUGUGAUUUUAACCUGUCUUCAAGUCUGAGCUUGGAAAUUCUUCCUUUGAAGAGAGUUCCUUUGAACAACUAAGAGAAAUCAGCCCUCACUGUUGCUAGCAGUGCUGAAUUAUGGCUGUGCAAUGGGAAGAGUUGUGGAUCUCCCACUGUCUUCAUUUCUGAUAAAAGAGACUGCCAUCCAACAGUCAGGACUGCCAGCAUUACCAUGGAAACCCCCAAAAAUAAAGACUUUCCCAGCCUUAUGA
rnacentral:lncRNA from 1 species